UACGUAGGGUGCGAGCGUUGCUCGGAAUCACUGGGCGUAAAGCGCACGUAGGCGGCUUCUUAAGUCAGGGGUGAAAUCCUGGAGCUCAACUCCAGAACUGCCUUUGAUACUGAGGAGCUUGAGUCCGGGAGAGGUGAGUGGAACUGCGAGUGUAGAGGUGAAAUUCGUAGAUAUUCGCAAGAACACCAGUGGCGAAGGCGGCUCACUGGCCCGGUACUGACGCUGAGGUGCGAAAGCGUGGGGAGCAAACAGG
rnacentral:rRNA from 1 species